AACGCACAUUGCGCCCGCGAGUAUUCUCGCGGGCAUGCCUGUCCGAGCGUCAUUUCAACCCUCAGGGCCCGCCUGCUUCGGCAGGCGCGGCGCUGGUGUUGGGGAUCGGCUUCACUACCGUCCCCCAAAUACAGUGGCGGUCUCGCUGCAGCCUCCCCUGCGUAGUAGCAACACUCGCAUGCGGAGCGCGGCGCGGCCACGCCGUAAAACCCCCGACUUUCUGAACGUUGACCUCGGAUCAGGUAGGAAUACCCGCUGAACUUAA
rnacentral:misc_RNA from 1 species